CCUACGGGAGGCAGCAGUGAGGCAUAUUGGUCAAUGGACGAGAGUCUGAACCAGCCAAGUAGCGUGAAGGAUGACUGCCCUAUGGGUUGUAAACUUCUUUUAUAUGGGAAUAAAACGUUCCACGUGUGGGAUUUUGUAUGUACCAUAUGAAUAAGGAUCGGCUAACUCCGUGCCAGCAGCCGCGGUAAUACGGAGGAUCCGAGCGUUAUCCGGAUUUAUUGGGUUUAAAGGGAGCGUAGGUGGAUUGUUAAGUCAGUUGUGAAAGUUUGCGGCUCAACCGUAAAAUUGCAGUUGAAACUGGCAGUCUUGAGUACAGUAGAGGUGGGCGGAAUUCGUGGUGUAGCGGUGAAAUGCUUAGAUAUCACGAAGAACUCCGAUUGCGAAGGCAGUUCACUGGACUGCAACUGACACUGAGGCUCGAAAGUGUGGGUAUCAAACAGGAUUAGAUACCCGUGUAGUC
rnacentral:rRNA from 1 species